UCCCUGUGUACCUGAUGCCUUCUGAAGGUGUCCAGAUGUGCAUGUCAAGGAUGCUCCUGUCUGCAGUUGCCAGCCUGGCAGGUAGCAGCAAUCCCUACUGUAAUGAAUGGGAACAAAUGAACUUUCCUCCCUGUAACUAGUGGAUACCUUCAGUAGCCAUCAGUGCUCUGGAGGUUGCCUUUGGGUUCUUCCUUUGUACCACCAUAAAAAAAAAAAUCUUUGCAAUAGCACUUCACUUGAUUCUGGCUCCCCAUACAACCAAGAAGUUAAAGAGAAAUUUCAGAUUGUUUUUUGAUCUGUGGGUCCCACAGGUGGCUGAAGAAAGGAGAAUGGAUAAACACUGGGUGCUGGUUGGGUACAUCAUCCUUUUUCCUGCAGUCAAAAUAAUCGGCAUCGGCCUAGAGAUGUUGUGAAAGGGACAAUGCUUAAAGACACUGGAAUGUAGGAAAGCAAAUCAAAGCUUUAGUAGGUCUACUGGAAAACUGUCUGCCAAUUUUCUCUCUUUUUUUUUUUUUUUAACACAAUUCAAACUUCAAAUUUGAAGAUAUUAGCCAUGUCUGGCCAUUUAAACAUAUACAGUUUGUCCAUUUACCCAGUUAUUCACUAAACUGUGGCUGAUAUCUAGAAUGGCGCAGAAGAAAUAAGACACAAAAGAAACAGGACCCAAAAGAAAUUUCCCAAGCAUCCUAACACCACCACCAGCAGUCAUGGCGUCUUUUGAAGGCACUUAUGAAAUCUAUCUAUCAUGUCUCCAAUCAGAAGCAACAGUGUUAAGAGAUCUCUGUGACCAGCUACUCAGAGCUCACAGCUGACCAAAGUCACAUCAUCCUAUUAUUCAUCAAACCCUUGAUCCAGCAGUGCUAUUUAUUCCUGCUGGUCCUAUGAUGAGGCUGUUGGGGGCAUUCACUGAUCUCAUGGUAGGGCAAGUUUGAUUUCCAAGGUGAAUCUAUGAGCUACAAAGUUUGAGUCAUCCUUUGUUCCAGGUUAGCUGGCUCAGCCAACCUAACGUAUCGUAAAGAAGAGCUGUGGUCCAGCUGCUGCUCUCUCCUUUUCUGGUUCAGGGACAUGAUGCUCCUAGGAUUGUGGCUGCUCUUUCAAAACACGAGGCACAAAGGAGUGCUUGCUGUUUGCUAAUUGCUGGAUGACAUUUUUCUACCCGCUGGCGCUGCCGCCGUCUCUGCUCGUGGUUACAUCUUGUCUUUGAUCUUGUUCAUGGUCUGGCCUUCAUCUUUCUGCCUCAAAAAUGUUCUCUUUCAUUUCCUGUUGGAGGAAGAGACUAGGUCCAUUCCUGCAAGUGGAAGGAUCAGAUAUAACUUUAUUGAAUUCUGUUUGCCCACAGAAUGCCAGCAAGACAAAUUUUAAGGAGAAAAAAAGUGCCCAUUGUUUCAGCCAAAAGCCUUGCCUCCAUACAGGUGAUAAAAGCCAGGGUUGGAGAUGCUGUCAGACAAAUUUUAAAAACUCCAGUAUCUGCUACCUCUGUACCUCUGUGAUGCUCCUGUUCAUUUAGUUCAAUACAACUUUUAUUCAGACUGGAGGAAGAUAGUGCAUUGUGACUGGAUGAUAGCUCUGUAGUUUGCCUUCAGGACAGCUUGGAGUGACGUGCCAAGGCUGCCCUGCAGCAAACACCCUUCCAGCAUUUCAGCCAGUACCUCACUCUUCCACUCAUACAACACAGCAGGGCACAGCAAACAAUUAUGCAUUUCUCAGAAAGCCUACCUUGCAGGCUCUUGGAAGACACAGUGGGCAGGUGCACGUUAACCUCCUGGGCUGAGACCCAGUUGGGUUCUGCUCAUUUUUGGCAUUUCCUGCUGGGACUGUCCUUUGGUUGUCUGCAGGGAGUUACUUGUCUGCCUUGGUUGCAAUGGUCAGCAGAUCUGUGCUGUAUUCUGUGAGCAUGUGGCUCUUCACUGGAAUCUUCUUGCUACUUUACCAGCAAAGGAGCUGCUCCAUCACUCUUUUUUUGGCUGUCUGAAUUGCUUUCCUGAAUACACCAUAAGUGGUUCUUUGCAGGGUUCCUGCAAGAGUUAGUGUUUGCAUCUAUCCCAAGGAAGGAAAGGUGACUUGGAAGCUGAAGAAUGCCAUCUGUGUUGGCUCAGGAAAUUUGCUGCCUCCCACCUGACUGUGAUGCAUGGAAGUACACAAGUUGGGCAGCAGUUAUCCAGGUGCCAUACAGCCUUCGUUCCCACCUGGGAAGAAGAGAGGAGGUAUUUCAGUGCCCAGCAGCAAGAAGCUGAAUGCAAGAAGAUAAAAGGGGCAUUGAGGUCUGCUAGCUAAUAAACCAUCUUUGGAAGAGAUGAGCAUCCUAUAGGUAGGGAAGAAGUCCAAGAAACAGAGCACAUAGAGAGUAAUCUCAUCCUUACAUCCUUUCCACACUUCUGGCAGUCAGUGCUUCAAGAAUGUGGACCAAAUUUCAGCCAUAGUUUAUUAUAAUAAUGAUCAGUUCUUUCUUAAUGAUAAGUUCUAUAAUUAAAUUGGCAAACCACUCUGUUUCUGAUUUUAAGCUCAUUUCUAAACAACAUUACUGAAAACCCUCUAGUCUGUGAAUUGCAAGGAAAGAACUAACUGGCUCAUUUUUGUCUUCUUUGUGGUCUUCUAUUAAUUUUUCUUCCACCCUGGUGACUCCUUAGGGCCAUGGCUUAGUGGGCAGUGUUGGUGAGAGGAGAACAAUUGGACUAGAUGAUCUUAGAGGUCUUUUCCAACCUGAACGAUUCUGUGAUGGUCUAAUGUCUUCUCUCACUGCAAACCUACUCCUUAACAGAUCAUCCCUCACCCUUCCUUUCAAAGACCUUUUAUCCAUUUGAAACAGCAGUACCAGAACUCCACCAGCAAAGGUGUGUGCACAUGCAUGUAACAGUUAUCUCCUGCUAGCAACUCCAACAUCGGAAUUUGAGCUACAGCUCAAAGACACUAUUUUUGCAGCAAACUGCCCCCCACCCCCUCCUGCUACAUGUGAAUAGUUUCACUCCAUUGCAGAUCUUCAGAACUGUCACUUCUGCAUCCGUUGCCAAUUAAAUUCAACUGGUGUUUCCAUCAGCUGUCACUCCGUGUUGCGAUGUGCUCUGGCAGUAUUUCUCAGCAUGUCUCACUGGGAUCACUGUCAGCGGUUCUGCGUCACCAGUGAGUCCUCUCACCUUGUUUGUGAGACCACCCUUUGUCAGGAGCCCACAGCGUGGUACCCGUGAUGUGAUGUUGAUGGAGAAGAGACCCAAGGAGCAGCAGGAAAACUGCUAAAUUUACUUUUGCGUGUUUGGGAAAGCUUCAAAGCUAUUGAAAACAACACUUUCAAGCCAAGAUGAAAGUAAUAAAAAUGGUGUAAGACACAAGUUGGGACUGCAGACUGCAGAACAGUGCAAGUCAAUUGAAUGGAGACUGAAUGGGUCUCGGAGGCCUUCUGCUCCUGCUAAAGACCUGAAUGAGGUAUUUCUGCCUUUGCCUCAAAGUAGGAAUAUAAAUUAAAGGGUGCACUUUGUGCCACAUGUCUUUGCUGCAUUUCAGCAGACUCCCCAUGUUGGCCAUGAAAUGGUAUCAGCCACAAUGGCACACAGCCUCAUUGUCAGCUCCUCACCCCAGUGCGGAGGAAGCCAGAUCAAAGUUGGAAAGAUGCUUCUUUUGUCACCCAGCCCUGUACUGCACCAUCUCCAGGUGCCUCAUGCUGUAGAUAUGCACUGCUCUGCACUGCAGUGAUUCCAUGUAAUGGAACUCAGCGUGUUCUGCAGCUGAAAUGCAGCAGGGCUGAGCAACCAGAUGAGGAAGAUGGUCAUGCAUGCCCUUAGGUCAAAUGUAGCUGUUUGAUAAAAGGAAAGCCACAGCAAGUUAGCAUAGUUGAACCUCACAUUUCAUCAGGGGUGGUGGUGUACCUGCACUGAUUUCUUGGUGGUUCAUCAGGGACAGUAAUAUGAGGAGUCACACUACAAGAGCAUUUCCUUACUGUGUCCUCUUCUGAGAAGUGACAGCAGCUCCAGAGCUGAUCAGUGGAGUUCUGAAGGGAUUCAGGUCCUGGUCUGUGAUCCUCACUGAGACAUGCUCUCCACUCUCUCACAUGUGGGGCAGCAGAGUCUCUCCCCAUCAUCUGCCAGUAAUUGGUUCAAUUGGUUUCUCCUUUUCCUGACAAUAUCUAUUAUUACUCGGGUAGGAUUUCAGGAUGAAAUAAUUAGCAAUGCAGCCUUUAUGGAAGCAUUUGACUGAAGGAUGUACCAAGGCCUAGGAGUGCUGGGAUUUGUGAUUUGUGAUGUGAUUCACCUCUCAAACUCCCAGUGACAGGUGGGGAUCUCCUUUGUGUCAGUGCAGAUGGAGGCAGCAUCUUGGGUGGUGGCUGUUCUGUCUGAAGCAUCAUAAGCUGCUUUGAAUUCAAGGGCCAGGACUGCCUCAAGGAUAAGUAAUAAGAGGUCCAGAAAUGCUGACAGUGUCUGUUGCUCCAGUUGCGUGGAAAAUGCUGUGUAAGAGUGGUUCCGAGUGCUACUUUAUAUGAAAAGAGUACAGCACAUUCUGAGUUGAGCACUCGUGUUUUGCAUUCUGUGUCCUUUAGCAUUUUCUGCCUGCAAGGUUUCAGUGUUCCCAUUUUUCUCAUACUCACCGAAAGCUCUCAUUGGCUUUAAUGAGUACUUGGCUGCUGCAAGUGCUGGAUAGCGUUUGAAACCCUAGCAAAAAACAUCUGAAGGUUUAUUUUACCAACCAUAAAGGAUUGCUUAGUGGAUUGCAGGAUAAUUUAGGACAGAAGAGGCUGACAGGGACCAGUUGUAACUCUUAAGUCACUGAGACCACUGGAGAGGUCACUUCAUCUACUUGGCCACUCACUCGAAUGACAGAGGAAACCUUUCACACAUCCAAGCCAAAAUCUGAUUUUUCACUCUACAAACCAUAGCCCAAAUUGAAUAUUGUACAUUCAACUGCAUUUAUUAUUAGCAAAAUGUUCCAGAUGAGGAAUCCUUUCCUGGAAAAUCUGCAGUAUCACUGAAUUAAACCAUUGGAGAACUCCUGUGAAUAUGGUCCCAGUCCCAGUAUACACAGCAUAACAGCCCCCAGGGGCACCAUCAAGCAAGGAUUUUGUUUUCUGAGAGUCGGGUGCAAUACUUUGACUCAGUGAGGAUGCUAUAAGAAGGUUUGCAUGCAUGGAGGUCUUCCUCUUCCAGGAAAAACUAGAGCUAUUUGCAGAUGGAGACAGUGAGGGGCUACGUAAGAUAUCAGUUUUGCAAAGCUAUGCUCCCGGUAAUAUAUACUGUAACUAUUUUAAAUGGCAGAGAUAUACAGAGGUGCCUGGAGAUGCCUUUACUACUUUUCCAGCACCAGUGAUGGUUUUGUUGUGUUCUUUGUUGAGGAAAGCACUGACAACAACACCACAGCCCUUGGAACAACUCCUGAGACCAACAGAAGUGCUCAGGAUUGCAAAGCUGAGCACGACUGGGCAGUGCUCAAACAUUCCUGGUGCUUUUAUCUCACUGGAAGAACUCUGAUCUCAAAGUGCUCUCUGCAUACCUGCUCAGUGUUUCCUACAUGGCCAGUGGGGGUAAGAAGAGUCAGUGGGUCUGCCUUGUCUCGUAACUGGUUUCUAAUUUUUGAGGUGUAAAACACAGGCUCCAUGCUGAAACUUUAAAAGAAGAAACUGUUGGCAGAAAUGAUGGGAACACAUCAGACAGAUUACAGCAUUGCUUUUUACUUAGAGGGAGGCAAAACUUGCUGGAAUGUACAAAUAAUUGCUCCAGGACCAAGUGCUUGGAAAUCAGCUGUCAUCAUCUAUUAGAAAUGUGAGAUACUCUGACAGUAAAGGGUAAAGGCUGCUUUGAAUCAAAUAGCAAAAAUUCUCUAAGGACCCCCUGGCAACAUCCUUUCCAACCCAGGCAUGAAGCUUUUGCCCUUUCAUGAUGAGUCAAAGCAAGACAGUGAAAAAGAUUGGUCUGGACAGCUGUGAAAUACAUGCUGAUUUAGUGAUUUGUGAUAGAAAUAUCCAGCUUGGUCUGUAGGAAUGGAGAUGCCUGCAUAUGAAAGCACCAGAAGAAACUCCAGGGCAAGGAUGAAGUGUUGUACUGAUAACAAAGGGAUCCAUUUGGUAAAUUACGUGUCUUUUGUAUUGAAACAGCACAGCAGCUCAGGAGAUCACCUGCACUCCAACAACAGGAAGAUAACAACAAGGUGCAACAGCUUGCCUACAACUUCCUCGUCCCGUUAUCCAGAAGGCAGGCGGCUGCUUUUAGAUACCAAAAUGAGGAAUCAUAGAAUCGUAGAACAACUUGGGUUGGAAGGGACCCAAGGAUCAUCAAGUUCCACAGGAAGGGCCACCAACCUCCAGAUCUGGUGCCAGACCAAGUUGCCCAAGGCCCCAUCCAACCUGGUCUUGACAAGAAGGAAGCAUAAAGGAGGCGUGGGAUCUUGGAAGUAUAUGGAGAGUAGAGUAAGCACAAUGGCCAUGGGCUCCUGAAGGCCAUGAAAGACCUGCCCCAAACCCAGCUCACUCGUGCCCACCAAGGAGAAAAGAGGGACAGAGAGAAGGAGAUAGUCCCUUCCCAUCCCUCAUACCUAGAAAGCAAACACUGUGUUUCAGAUCAAACAAUUCUUCACUGGUUCUAAAAUAAAUGUUUCUAUUUUUCCUUGCUGGUGGAACUAGAAUGCCCGUGUUCCCCCAAUGCAGGGGCAGAUGUUUCAGAAAAAGGUGUGGUAAUCUACUUUCCCAAGUGUUGCUGUGCCCAACCAAACCUUUGUGCUGAAGCUUGAAAACGGGACGACCUCUAAAAGGAGAAACGUGCAGCGUGACCCCAUGGGAUGCACAUCAUUGCACCUGGAGAUUCCAGGAGGGUUUUGGUGCUGGAAAGUUUCCAUUUCCUGAAGCAGUGCAAAGUUCUGCGCAUUGAGGUGUGUUGCUCCUGUGCACCACACAACUGCUCAUAAUUACCUGCUACAAAAUUUACCAUUUCUACCUCGACGCUACAUCAUAACCACCCAGGGUGGAGUCACUGAGCCCCUCUAGAGCAGGUUUACUUUGAAUAAGGGAAACCAAAGCACUGCAGAGGGAUAAAGCCCCAUUCACUCUGUAGAGAACAGACCAAAGGCGUCCAUUGGUUCCCAAGAGAUUUGUCUGUAGAAAUCUUCCCGAGUGCCAGCAAUUGUUAAGUCUCGCAGAGCAGAUUUCUAGCAGAAAAGAAAUCUAUGAUGCAGCAUUUGGAUCUAUAUUUAUGUGUGGAUAACAAAGUUCAUCUGCUCUAUGUAUAGAAAACCUAAAUGUGUCAUGUGUUAACUGCUUUUUCUGUGUGUGCUUGCAUACCUAAUAUGAAAAAUAUAAUCUGCACUACAAA